UAUGUUGUUAUAUACGAUCUCCAA
rnacentral:siRNA from 1 species